rnacentral:lncRNA from 1 species
AUGAAAUUAGCCGUGUUUUCAGGGCCCUGCGCAGGUCAGCGCCGCUGCAGGCAGAGGAGGCGUGGGAGCGCGGGGUGGAGGCUGGGGAGGGGGCGUGCGGACCUGCUUGUUAAGCGGACCUGGCCUCUGGGCCGAGCAGGCGUCCAGGCGCUGAGACAGGAGGUCGCCCUCACCCCAGCGGCAGCAGCGGCCACUCCGGUGCUGUCCCGGGAGCCAGGCACUGGCAUGGCACCUUUGUUCUUCUUGGGGUGGAGCGUGACUCUCUGGCCUGCAUCACGGCUUUCUCACCUCCCCCUGGGCGGCCCUGGGCAGGCCGUUGGAUCACUGUGCACAGGACGGUCACAGGGCUCCUUGAGGAUAAAAUGCAUCAGUGUAGGUAAAGGGCUUAGAAGGGUACCUGGUGCACAGAACUGCUUCGUCUACUUGCCAAAGGAAGUGCUGUUAUUAUUAUUCUGUAAAAAUUUAUGUAUUUACUUGAAAGACAGAGUGACACAGAGAGAGAGAUCUUCCAUCUGCUGGUUCAUUCUCCAAAUGGCCGCAGCAGCCACAGCUGGGCCAAGACAAAGCCAGGAGCCAGGAACUCCAUCUAGGUCUCCCACGUGGGUGCAGGGGCCCAGGGACUUGGGGCCAUCUUCUGCCGCCUUCCCAGGCCAUUGCAGAGAGCUGGAUGGGAAGUGGAGCAGCCGGGACUUGAACUGGCGCUGGGAUGGCAGCACCGCAGGUGACUGCUUCCCCUGCUGCACCAUGACAUCAACCCCAAGGAAGUGCUGUUAUGGUCACACCCCCUUUACAGGUGAGCAGACUGGCACAGAGAGGUUAAGUGACUUGGCCAAGGUGGUUCAGCCAGGACGGGAACCCAGGCAGCCAGUCUUCAGAAGUCAUGACCUCACUGGAGGGGAAGAGGCCUCAAGUGUGGGGGUGCCUGGGGAGGCUGGGGGAGGCAGUGGGUGCGGGUGCCUGGCACGGCAGAGCCCGGCUCUGGCUGGGUCCGUGGAGGCAGAGGCCGGGGGGAGUGAGGUCGUCCAAGGUCCCUGCUACAGGGGCCUGAAGUGGACUCUGGGGGGAUCUGGAUUCCAUUUCUUUGGGGGAGGUUGA